GUUUAUAGGAAACUGCGCUCAGGGAAAAGGCAAGGAAUAUCCUCUCUUAUAAAAAAAAAAUUCAAAGCUACAGGUUACACAGAUUUAUGGAUUUAAUGGUUUAAAUAAGCCCCAUAAUGUAUUUUUAAAUUCAGUACUCCAAUUUUUUACUCCACCCUUGCCACUUUUAUUUAUUAUUGAAUCAAUGCAUCUCUAUGAGGAAAGUUCAGUGUUUCAACCCUGCUCCAG